UACGGGGGGGGCAAGCGUUGUUCGGAAUUACUGGGCGUAAAGGGCUCGUAGGUGGCCAAUUAAGUCAGACGUGAAAUCCCCAGGCUUAACCUGGGAACUGCGUCUGAUACUGGUUGGCUUGAAUUCGGGAGAGGGAUGCAGAAUUCCAGGUGUAGCGGUGAAAUGCGUAGAUAUCUGGAGGAACACCGGUGGCGAAGGCGGCAUCCUGGACCAACACUGACGCUGAUGAGCGAAAGCCAGGGGAGCAAACGGG
rnacentral:rRNA from 1 species